CCGGCGGAAUGACGUCAGCGCCUCCGGGCACUUGUGACGUCACGGGAAGACCAGGUCCGCAGGCGCAGGCGGCGGGCACCUUGUAGACCUUGCGGGCCUUUGGGGAGUUACCGGAACGCAGCGAUGACAGCCUCAGGGCGCUCCCGGGAGCUCCUGUAGGAGGAGCGUGAACGAGGCCCAGCGGACUGCGCCGAGGUCCCGGGAUGGACGCCCAGCCCACAGGACUGCCCGCAUCUGCAGCGUGUAGUUCUCCUGUUGCACAACUGUAGGGCCCCGAUGCAGUGACCUGCCUGAUGGGCCCAUCUACGCUGAGAGCCAUCAGACGUCCUCCCUGAGCAGUCCAGAAUCUCAGAGAACCACGACCUGCCUCCGCACACAACUGGCCUAGAGAUGGGCCAGCCAGCGGAGUCACAGGUGGGAGCCAGAGAGCGAGAGGAGCCGCCACAGCGCUCUGCUGUCUACACAGGCACGGUCCUGCCAGUCUGCCCCUCACUCCAGGUUCCAGCCUCUGCUGCACAGCGCCCACCCACACAUUGCCCCUCUGGAAGGUUCCGUGACACCUAUGGCAACGCUAAGGCUUCCUGCGGUCUCUGCAGCCCCAUGAGUACAAACUGCCCUCCGCACUUGAUCUCUGAGGCCCUCACUGCCUGGACUGAAUCACUCAUAUCACUUACGCCUGUGUUAACCCCCCUGUGUGGUUUCGACUUGCUCACUGGACCCUCAUACCGUCCUGGUAGGAGGAGUGAUCAGUCGCGGGCAGGAAAUUAGGGUGGAAAUGAAGCAGCGGUAACGGGCAUGCUUGGGACCAGGUGCUGGAAAAUGUGUUACUGUUCAACUGUCCUGCGGGUUGGGACACGCGGCGCCUGAACAGGGACCUGGGUAUGAGGGAUCCAGUGAGGAACACCGGAAUAAAGAAAGCCACCGCAGAAAACAGAAGAGGACAGGAGAGAAUCAUCCAGACGAGGACAGCAGAAAAUCGUCCCGAUCAUUAGGUUCUGGCCAACUGACCCUAAAAUCGCAGCAGUCAUCGCAGAAGGAGAACAAAUUAUGCAAAAAAAAAAAAAAAAAAACUCA